UGCGCAGGCGGCUUAUUAAGUCAGUGGUGAAAUCUCUCGGCUCAACCGAGAAACUGCCAUUGAAACUGAUAAGCUUGAGUGUAGUUGUAGUAGGCGGAAUAUAGCAUGUAGCGGUGAAAUGCUUAGAUAUGCUAUAGAACACCGAUCGCGAAGGCAGCUUACUGAACUAUCACUGACGCUCAUGCACGAAAGCGUGGGGAGCAAACAGGAUUAGAUACCCUGGUAGUCC
rnacentral:rRNA from 1 species